UAUGCCACAGUGCAGCCCAAAAAUAGAAAAAUUUAAAAAUGAAGACAUCUACACAAGGAACAGGUACAUGAGUACAUGAAAAGGUGCUCAACAUCACCAAUCAUCAGGGAAAUGCAAAUCAAAGCCACAAUGAGCUAUCCCCUCACGGAUGUUACAAUGGCUGUUAUUAAAAUAAAAAAAAAAAGGUAUUGAUCAGGAUGAAGAGAAAAGGAACUCAUUGUUAGGAAUGUAAAUUGUGCUUGUACUGUGGAAAACAGCAUGGUGCUUCCUUAAAAAAAACAAAAAUAUAACUACCAUAUGAUCUAACACUCCCACUUCUGGGUAUAUAUUCAGGAAUUGAAAUAUUCAGCACUCCCAUUUUCAUUGGACUACUUUUCACAAUAGCCAACAUGUGGAAGCAAGCUAAAUGUCCCCUGAUUUAUGAAUGGAUAAAGAAGAUGUGGAACAUACAUACAAUGGAAUAUUAUUCAGCCUUAAAAAAGAAGGAAAUUCUGGUACUUAAGACAACCAUGGAUGAACCCAAAGGGCAUUAUCCUAAGUAAAAGAAGCCAGACACAGAAGAACAAAGACUGUGUAAUUACACAACUUAUAUGGGGAAUCUAGACUAGUCAAACUCAUAGAAAUAGAGUAUAAUGGUUGCCAAGGCCUGGGAGGAGAGGGAAAUGGGGAGGUAUUAGUGGGUAUAAAGUUUCAGUUUUGGCAGAUGAAUAAGUCCUGGAGAUCUACUCUACAACGUAGUGCCUAUAGUUAAUAAUACUGUGUUGUAUACUUAAAACUUUUCUAAGAGGGCAGAUCUUAUGUGAAGUGUUCUUAUCACAAACUAAUAAUAAUACAGAAGGUGGGAGGAAACCUUUGGAUGUGAUGGAUAUGUUCACAACAUAGACUGUGGUUGAGAGUUUCACAAAUGUAUACUUAUCUCCAAAUUCACCAAGCUGUAUACAUUAAAUAUGUACAACUUUUCGUAUGUCAACCGUACCUCAAUAAAGUGCUUUUAAAAAACAACUCUUUAACACUAAAAGCAAAAACCCUCUAAUUAGAAAAUGGGCAAAAAAUAUGAACAAACAUCACCAAAAAAGGAGAUAGAGACACAAAUCAGUGUAAAAAAAGAUAGUCGAUAUCAUUAGCCAUCGAGGAAAUGUAAAUUAAAACCACAAUGAGAUAUCAAAAUCACUAAAAUAAAAAAUAGUGACAAUACCAAAUGCUGUGGAAAAUGAGGAAAAAUUGAAUCAUUCAUGCAUUGCUUUUGGCACAAGUACUCUGGAAAGAAGUGUGGCAGUUUCAAAAUGGUGGUAAGAAAUGGUGUUAUCAUAUGACCCAGCAAUUGCCCUCUUGGGUUUUUAUUCCAGAUAAAUGAAGUUAUUUUCACACAAAAUCCUGUAAGCAAAUGUUCAUAGGAGCUUUAUUAAAAUAGCCCAAAUCUGGAAACAGCCCAGAUGUCCUUCAAUGGAUGAAUAGUUAAACCCUUCACCUUUGUGGUAGCUUCACAUCAUGAAAUAUCACCCAGCAAUAAAAAGAAGGACCUAUUAAUACAGUGACUUGGAUGAAUUUUAAGGGCGUUAUGCUGAGUGAAUAAACCCAGUCCAAAAAGAUUACAUUUCUGUAUACUAUCGUUUAUAGGACAUUCUUGAAAUGACAAAAUUAUAGAAAAACAUAUUAGUGGCUAUCAGCCCCCUCCCCCAAGUGAGGUUAUGAAAAGGUGUGUGAUGGAACAGUUCUGUACCUUGACUGUGGUGGUGGAUUUGUAUCUAAACAUAUGAUAAAAUUGGAUAGAAAAAAUACAUACAUACACUGAGUACAAGUAAAACUGGGGAAAUCUAAGUAAGAUUGGUGGAGUUGAUCAAUGCCAGUAUUCUGGUUAUGACCUUGUACCAUAGUUUCCGGAAUUGUUACCAUUGCGGAAAACUGGGCAAAGGGUGCAGAAGAUCGCUGUAUUUUUUUUUUUUUUUUUUUAAACAAACUGCAUGUGAAUAUACCAUAUUCUCAAAAUACUUUAAUAUUGUUUUAAAUGUGUAAGUACUUCUGGGCUAUUUAUUUAAUUAAAAAAAAAGUACAACCCUCUUAAAAACUCAAUGGCCAGGGGCAAAAGGCUAUUUCAUAAAUUUUAUGAAACCACCUAGCUCCUAAGUGCCACUCCCUCACCUUGCUGUCAGCGACGUGUUGUGUGCUGCAUAGUGUAGCAAGUAGGAGUUGGAGAGCGCAACUGGCGUGGGCUCACGGUGUUCAGGUGUGUGUGUCCAUAGGUGGGCAGUGGUGUGAGGGUGAAAAAGAGAAAUCAGAGAGAGCUAUGCCUUUCCGACUGUCAGGAAGGGUGGACAGCUGAUGAAGGUGCUGUGCUGAAAGCCAGGAAAGGGUUUAAGGAGGGUGCUGGCGCCUCAGGAACGCCCUCCUGCUACGUUGUCCAGGAGGCCGUGGGCGGUGGCUGAACAGCCCCGGUGCAGUGACUGAACCCCACCGUCGACAGGAAAAGGUGUUCCUUUGAUACAGUGGAUGGUGACUCUGCUGUUCUGCCUGGGAGUGGUUCAAAAUGUAAGUUCAGCAAACUAACAAAUAAUUAAAUGUCCAUAAUUCUAGGGCUCUAUGCAGAACAUUUCUUCCCAUUUUCAUUCCUUUUGCCCAGGACUCUAGCCUGAUAAAUAAAGAGUCUAGAAGGAGGUGAUACCAUCUCCUUGGGUAGGCAGAGGGAUGCCCAACUGAGACCAACGUUUGUUCAGUGUUCAACAGUGGCACUGUAUCAAGGCACCAUGACAGCCAUCCGUUGCCAUUUUUCUCUACCCCUCCCCACCCCAUUAGUUUUCAUUACUUUUCUAGUAAUAGAAAAUGAACCUUUGGUAUCUGGGCAAUGCUGAAAUGACAUCUCUCCUCAUGUGGGGGACAGAUCCCAGUAGGUAGACAUACAGGAGCAGCAUUCUUUUGUGCCAGGUGAAAUCCUUUGGCGGCUAUUGAGUUAGCUUUCCUAAUGCAUAGAUGAACCAGAAUACUUCUUGAGCUCAGCUCCCUGUUGAGAUCUGCUACGCUUCAGAUAUAAAGUGAAAAGUGUUCAAACACGGCAUUGCUCUUGGACACAUAGACACUGGAUGGUGCAGGAUUUUACCAUCGGCCUGCCUUCUCCACUUUGGGAUAUCAAAUACUUCCACGUAUGGUUCUUUAUGGAAGCAACUCUCUGUUCUCAGAAAGGGACCCAGAGGAAGACCCCUCCCUGUUUCUUUAGAGACCUCACCAUGUAAUUUAAGAUAUUUUUGAAACAAUUCUUAGGCAUUUAAUGCAUUUGAUCAUUGGUCAGGCUCCAGAAAGCUGAUUUUUAUUAGGAAAAAUGUCUUCCUUCCCUUGUCUUCCCCUUGCUUUUCUGCCUCCCUCUUUCUGUUCCCUUGCCCCUAAACAUGGACUUCUGUGUAAUUCAGUUCACUAAAUAUUUCUCCAUUCUUCGUUUCGCUGCAGAGUUUAUUGCUAGAGUGGCUAAUAGACUUUCAGCACCAAUAGUGUAUUGAUCACUUGAAAUCUUGUUUGAGCUUGACUGAAUAUACAUAAUGGGGUGUCAGUCGGGGAAAAAAAAAUCUCAUAAUAAAUGGCAGGUGACUUAUAUUCAUGAGAAAAAAUGUCUUGGGCAGUGCACAAAAUACCAUGUUUACUGUAGCAUGACCGGCUGAUUUCACCAGUCUCCUCACAGUCAUUGGAUGGAUAUUUAAUAGCAAAGGCAAGGUUAGAAUACCAAGAUCCUGGAACCUUUCUUUCUUUGUUUAUAUGGAGAAGCAUUUUUGCACACUCUAUAGAACAUAAACAUCUUCUACAAUCGUAGCCAGCAAGAAAGAUCUUUUCUACCUGAAGAGUUCAGAAAUUGCAAACAAAUCUGUUGAAGUUGGUGUCUGUUUAAAAUCAGCUUCUGAUUUAUGCAGUCUAUAUUUUUUAACUUUUUACCAUGUGUGUAUCAGUGCAUACACUCGGUGUAUGCAAAUAUCAUUUGCAAUGUGUAUGAGAGAGCACGGUAUAUUUAGAGAAAAUCCUGCUUUACAUAAAUUAUUUUUAAGAACAACCAAGCAGAGGAGUAGCCAUGCGUUAGGAAAGCGAAAUCCUUUCGGUUUUCUUUUUUAAAUUUCCUAUUGAAUGAUAAGGAAUGGGGUCUCAAUUUUGAAGUUUUAUGGGUCAUUCUUCAAAAUCUAUUUUCCCGAUAGAGCACUGGCCAGUAUUUCUAGGGAAGUGAUAUUUGGGGUUACUUUCUGUAGCUGACUUAGAAAUGACUCCGUUGCUACUGACUGUACUUGUGGCAUCUGGCCACUGUGGAGUAUUGUCGUAGCCAUAAUCCUGCUUCACCCCAAGACAGUGUGGGGUGUAUAACACUCCCCAGCCCACGGGGUAGGGUGCAUUUGAACUUCUGUCAGGAAGUCUUGUUCUCCUGUAAGUGAAUGCAGUCAAUGGGCUCUUUACUUCUCAGGUUUAAAUUUGCUUUUUUAUGGCAAAAACCAAAUCACACUGUAGGUAAAUGCCUCUUCCACUUCCUUUACGACAUUCAAGAUUUUACAAAGCGUAUUAUGACAGCGUUUUUGCUUUUUAAAUCUCAGGUCGUAUCCAGUAGCCAGAGGAACCGACUUACCAGAGUAUGUGAAAUAGGGCAGGAGAGACGAUGAGGGUACAGAAGACGUGACAUGUCAGGGCCUGAUCACAUCUACAGUUUUUCUGUAGGGCUUCAAGAACUUUUGGCUGUUUUCAUCUACUUCAUUAAAAUGCUUCUGAUCUGUUUUUUAAGGUUUCUGCUUAGCAGGAAGAGAGAAAGCAAAGUUUGCUGAGAAAAUGGUGUUGAGAACUAGUCAGUUGGAGCAGUUCAACAGUAUAUGAUUAUAAGGGAGCUACAUAUUUUAGCAAUCUUUUAUAAGUAAAAUCUUGUAUCUAUUCUUUCUUUUAUACAUGAAUACCGUUUUGUGACAAAAACUAUUUGUAGUAUGUGGCUUUUUGCACAAAGAGAGGUAAUCAUGUUUGAUGGUUUAAGCUUAGGGAAUUAUGUCAUUGAGACGUGAGCAAAAACUACAUUAUAUGAGAACUUUAAACUUGGGAAUUAGCUGUUUGAAUAAACUUCCUUCCUUUUAACCUACAGAGAAACACAUGUCUGAAAAUGUUAAAAAUUGGAGGUAUUGGAUGCCACCAAUAAAAGGGAAAACAUGAAAUCCCAGGGCAGAGAGAAUUGGAAGGAAAACAUUUCCCAGAGAAAUUUGAAUCCGAAACCUGCAUUUAUAGGCCUUGCUGUUGUCUUAAAUUGUGGAUAGUUUUACUGAUUUAUUUUAAUAAAGUGAAAGGAGAAAAUGAAUAAGGAACCAAGUGGAAGCUACACAAGCUAUGUUCUGAAUAAAAGAUAUUCAGGAUUAUGGGUUGGCAAUACAAAUACCUAGUUUUAGUAUAUUACUUUCUUAACAGUUUGUGCCAUCUUAGAGUGAGAAUGUUUAAAAACAAAACAACUUUAAGCACCUAUGUUUUAUUUUUAAUUUUUCUAGGGCCACACCCGCGGCAUAUGGAGGUUCCCAGGCAAGGGGUCCAAUCAGAACUACAGCUGCUGGCCUACACCACAGUCACAGACACACCAGAUCCAAGCAGCUUCUGCAACCUAUACCACAGCUCACAGCAACGCCAGAUCUUUAACCCACUGAACGAGGCCAGGGAUCGAAUCCACAUCCUCAUGAAUCCUAGUCGUGUUCGUUAACUGCUGAGCCGCAACGGGAACUCCUAAGCACCUGUGUUUUAUAGAGCUUGUCAGUAGAACUAAAAACAACAUCAGUAGACCUACCAGGUGCUUGGUAAAGAUUUUAAGUUCUUUUUUUUAAAAAAAAAAUCUUUCUUCAACACAAAAUUUUAAAACCAGGUUGAAUUUGCAGCCAUUUCACAGGAAUGGACAUUAUAAUUUCUGGAAUUUGAUUUCAUAUAUGAUAUGUGAAGUGAACAUUAGGAAGUAAUUGGAACUUCUGUAUUUUUGUUUUCUUGCAACUGCUACAGUUUCAGAAGACAGUCUGAGCUCUCUUCCGUUAGCUACAGCUCAUUUAAAGUUAUAGUCAUUUAAUAGAAGAACAGCAGUGGGACCACUUUUCCUUCCAACAAUGAUUUAACUAAUAACUAGGCUAAUGCAAUGGAUUAAGGAUAAUAUGCUUUUUUAAAAAUUGUUAUUUUUUUCACUUUAAUGAAGAACACAUUGAGGCAAAGUAAAGAAAAAUGACAGUGUACUAAUUCAAUUAUCAGUGAAGUCAUAGCCCAGUAUAUGCCACUUUUAAUAACUCUAGCUUUGCAUUUAAUAAAAAGUUUAUUUUCAGGUUUAAUUGUUCAUGCUAAGAAAUCAGCAGACAACUUGCUUAGGGCAUGGAACAGCUGCUGAGCUUUAUCCUCAGUAGGUUUAUUAAACCCCCAUGUGCCUCCUAAGAAGGAAAUGUUGCCAUUUGUAACAACAUGGAUGGACUUAGAGGGCAUUAUGCUAAGUGAUAUAAGUCAGAGAAAGACAAAUGCUAUGUGAUAUCACUUAUAUGUGGAAUCUGAAAAAUACAACAAAUGAGUGAAUAUUUAAAAAAAAAACAAAACAGAUACCAAGAAUAAACUAGUGGUUACCAGGGAGAGGGAAGGAGGGCAACAGGGGUAGGGGAUUAAGAGGUACAAACCACUAAGUAUAAAAUAGGAGUUCCCUGUUGUGCUACAGUGGAAAAAAAUCCAAUGAGUAUCCAUGAGGAUGUGAGUUUGAUCCCUGACCUCGCUCAGUGGGUCGGGGAUCCAGUGUUACUGUGAGCUGUGGUGUUGGUUGCAGAUGCAGCUCAAAUCCCGAGUUGCUGUGGCUGUGGUGUAGGCUGGCAGCUGUAGCUCCCAUUCAACCCCUAGCCUGGGAACUUCCAUAUGCCGUAGGUGUGGCCCUAAAAAGCAAAAAUUAAAUAAACUACAAGGAUGUAUUGUAAAUCAUAGGAAAUACAGCCAAUAUAACUAUAAAUGGAGUAUAACCCUUAAAAAUUAUAAAUUGCUGUGGUGUACACCCCCCAAAAAUUCAAAUCCCCUCUGGGACAACUUGGGGCCACAGUCAGCCGAUGAUUUCUUAUACUUACUGAUGAGUUAAUAACAUAUUCUAUGUAUAUCAUAUAAGUAUAUAAUGAACUUACUACAAGUAUAUUGUUAUACUUAUUAAUAGCUAAAUGUAUAUACAUACCAUUUCAAACAAACCUAAGCAAAUCCAGUUUAAUUAGAAACCCAAUACUGAGAAAUAGACACCAUGAAAUGUCCUAGAACAGUAAAGAAAAUAGGCUUGACUAUUUGCCCAGCUUAGUUUUUGCUUGAGAUACAUGCUGUGGAAGACGUCAUUUUCUUAUGAAUAGGCUGAUCCACCGUGGUUUUGUAGGAAUUUGGUGAAAGAGUAAUUCAUGGUGGGGUUUUUUUGGGUUGUUUUGGUUUUGGCGUGUGUAUUUUCAGUUGAGGGUAUGUCUUUAAGGAAUGAGAGUCUCAUUUAAAAAAAAAAAAAUUCCUUGAAACCAGUGAAUCUCACUUUUGAGUUUGAACUUCUUCAUCUUGCUGUAGCCUUUGCUCCCUUAAGGCUGUGCUUUGGUCACGCUGACAAGUAUGGACAUGCAAAGCCACCAUCCGAUGGACUUGAUUUUGUCUCUGCCAAAUGGAAGAAGUGGCCGGCCUAUGAAUUCUAUACCCAAGCCAAGAAUUUGAAAUUGAUGUUAUUCUCCAGCAAGCUGGCCACUCCCUCUUCAGAAUCACUGUUGUCACUGGUGUGCUCUUUCUCUACUCCUGCAAACAUCUAUAUGUCUACAAGUUCUUCAGAAUCACUUGAUAAGCAUUCAAGAUAAGAGUACAAAACCUACUAUAGGAGUUCCCGUCGUGGCGCAGUGGUUAACGAAUCCGACUAGGAACCAUGAGGUUGCGGGUUCGGUCCCUGCCCUUGCUCAGUGGGUUAACAGUCCGGCGUUGCCGUGAACUGUGGUGUAGGUUGCAGACUCGGCUCGGAUCCCGCGUUGCUGUGGCUGUGGUAUAGGCUGGCAGCUGCAGCUCCGAUUAGACCACUAGCCUGGGACCCUCCAUAUGCCACGGGAGUGGCCCAAGAAAUGGCAAAAAGACAAAAAAAAAAAAAACCUACUAUAGACCCACAUUUUCAGGCUCCUUCA